rnacentral:rRNA from 1 species
CGCUCUCUGCAAUUACUUACUUUGUAAUAAUAGAAAUAUAGAGAGUCGGACCUGCCCAGUGACAAUUGCUUGUUAAACGGCCGCGGUACUCUGACCGUGCAAAGGUAGCAUAAUCAUUUGCCUUUUAAUUGAAGGCUUGUAUGAAUGGUUUGACGAAGGCUAAGCUGUCUCUUUUUAAUUAUGAAGAAACUAACUUUUAGGUGAAGAGGCCUAAAUUUAACUGAGGGACAAGAAGACCCCAUUGAGCUUUAGUGAUUUAGUAAAAUGAGUAGUUUGUGUUAAGGAUAUACUGAUCACAAUAAUAUUACACUAUUUUGUAGGUACUAUUUACUAAAAAUCUUUAGUUGGGGCGACUGAGGAACAUAAAAAGCUUCCUUUUUAAAGUGUUUUUUUGGUUGUCAAACCAGUUGAAUAGAUCCAGCAUUUUGCUGAUCAAAGGAAAAAGUUACCAUGGGGAUAACAGCGUAAUCUUUCUGGAGAGUUCUUAUCGAAAGGAGGGUUUGCGACCUCGAUGUUGGACUAAGAUAUCCUAGGGGUGUAGACGCUUCUAAUGGUUAGUCUGUUCGACUAUUAAAAUCUU